GAGACAGCAGCAGCCGCGGUAACACGUAGGGUGCGAGCGUUAAUCGGAAUUACUGGGCGUAAAGCGUGCGCAGGCGGUUCUAUAAGACAGAUGUGAAAUCCCCGGGCUCAACCUGGGAACUGCAUUUGUGACUGUAGAGCUGGAGUGCGGCAGAGGGGGAUGGAAUUCCGCGUGUAGCAGUGAAAUGCGUAGAUAUGCGGAGGAACACCGAUGGCGAAGGCAAUCCCCUGGGCCUGCACUGACGCUCAUGCACGAAAGCGUGGGGAGCAAACAGGAUUAGAUACCCGCGUAGUCCCUGUCUCUUAUAC
rnacentral:rRNA from 1 species